AACGUAGGAGGCAAGCGUUAUCCGGAGUUACUGGGCGUAAAGAGUGCGUAGGCGGACCUGUAAGUGGGUGGUGAAAGCGCCCGGCUAAACCGGGCGAGGUUCAUUCAGACUGCAGGUCUAGAGGCGGAUAGAGGGGUGCGGAAUUCCGGGUGUAGCGGUGAAAUGUGUAGAGAUCCGGAGGAACACCAGUGGUGCAAACGGCGCCCUGGGUCCGAACUGACGCUGAGGAGCGAAAGCGUGGGGAGCGAACAGG
rnacentral:rRNA from 1 species